CGUCAGGUGGCCAAGCACAGCCAUUGGGAACAAAGCAAAAGCAGCGGUUCUCCUAUUAGUUUUCAUCGCAGUUUUACAAGUGGAUGGAAAACCAGCACCGAAACCUUUACCCUGGGGAUGUGGUCGAUGGGGGCGUCUUGACUGCUAUCCACCUCCUCCACCAGAACCUUACCCAUAUUACCCUUAUAAAUGGGGAGGAAGAAGAUGUCACGAUGGAAGGUGUGGCAAGGGCACGAACAAUGAAAAUACAAACGAAGUACAUGUUAAACCUAUGAUAACGUAAGUUACAGAAUAGUAUG